UCUAACGCUGACGGAAUAAAUGUACGGAACACACAAGAAAUAAACAAUAAUCCUAUUUAUUUAGCUGGGUUAUCUCCUCUUCGUAAACACAGUGCUGAACUGCAGCUUAGUAGGGUAACACUGGUGAAGGAUUGAGAGGUCGCCAGCUGUCCUUGGGUCUCAACUUUGAUUUAAUGCCCUUGUGAUAUAAUGGCAUGCAGCCUAGUUAGACAGUAAGGCACAGAUGCAGCGUUUAAACUGUCAGCCUGAGGACUGGCUGCACGUGGGUGAGCUCAAGUGCGACUGUGUUCGACGGCAGUACCAGAGAGAAAAACGUAUUUAAUUCCUUCUUUGUUCCACUCCAUCCAGUCCCGAACGCGAGAUGACUUUGCAACCUACUUUGGACGGAGUGUAGCACAGUGGGUAAGGAACUGGACUUGUAACCGAAAGGUCGCAGGUUCGAUUCCCGGGUAGGACACUGCCGUUGUACCCUUGAGCAAGAUCUACUAGAUGAGCUGACACCUGCAGCUUAAUCUGACCAAGACUGAGCUGCUGUACAUCCUAUCCCACAUGUUUUUAAUAUGGAAAAUACUUACUUUGAGUACAAGGGUCAUUAAGGUCAUUCUAAAUGAGGAUCAUAAUGCAGGUAAACAGCAACGACACCGAGUACGACUGGAAAUUAGAUUAAAAUGGCCUCUUUUGAUGUACAAGGUCUUAAUUAUCCUAUUAGUAGAAGGAAGGUUGAUGAUUUUCUGAAGAACUGCUCAAUUACAUUUCUGCAGGAAACUGAAUUUAAUGAUGAAGAACAUCAAUGUGACAACUGAAAUAUUUUGUCAUUAAAGAGAGUAUACAAUUGAACAACACCCCUGGAAUUUCUGCCUCUACGUUUUGGGAUAUGGCUGUGACAGAGGUUAGGCCUGGAAGCAAAGCCAAAGCGGUAGCUUCCUACUGCUGUUGGCUAUCUUCUGGUGACUGAAGAAUGUUGGAUAUACACACUCAUACACCCCUGUGUCAUACCCGCUACUCCAACAAAGAUUGUAUAUGCAUAUAUGUACAAAAAAAACAAGAUGGAGCCUUGCGAUGGCUUCUCAAAAUAACGGUCCACAAUUGUUCGGGCAGCAAACGAAAGUUCAAAAAAAAUCUCCCACCAUCCAGCUUUGCAACACCACCAUUUUCCUUUCUCGCGAGCUACCCUUUAUCCCCCAGGAAAGGGACUGUCCAUGCUAUGUCAUUAACUGACUGUAGCGUGCCAAAAAAAUUUAAUAGAAUUGUAGUUCUAUAAUCCUGUCCUGACAUAGGGAAGAAUAAUAAUAACUGUAAAGCUCUAAGGUACCAAGUGAUUAAUUUGAAUAAAUAUAUAGGAAAGUCAAGUGUAAGCUGUGAAAAGAUCUAUUAAUCUUAUAUACAAAACAUUUACGGUUUAAGAAAAGAUAUUAGAUCAAAAACCAGCAUUUUCACAAAACACCUAUGAUUUGUAGGAAAUAUUUCUGUGCUGAUGAACACUGAUCAUUUAAAACUAAGUACAGUACUCUGGCAGCAUUGAUGCAAUAUACAGAUCCAAUUGGAGUAGCUUCCCAAAAGACUAGAAGAAGAGGCUGAAAAGAAAAUAAAUAUCAUGGUACCUGUGCACAUUUUUUUCUACAAUUGUUAAGCAAACCUGUGUGUGUAUGCACACAUGCAUGUGGUUGUGCUUAUUUGUUUUGAUAUGUGCUCGGCGCUGACCAUAAUAUCUUUAACAACUCAAAGUUAUUGAAUUUCUUUUUAUUAAUUAUAAUACAUCACAAAUGUAAACAGAUUUGUUUGGCAUCACACAAUUGUUUUCACUUUUCUUUCUCAUGCUCACCCAUGUUUGAAAUCAUGCCACUGUAGAACUUUCAUCAUCACAUGAACGGUUUGUUCAUACAAGGGCAGUACAUUUGUGGAACCACAUAAAACACACCAUCUGCAGAACCUCAGUACAGUGAUUUUUUAAAGAUUCAAGAGGUUGUUUAAAAAUAAGCAAAAAGUAAUGCAUUUAAUUUGAUGUUGGUAAAAUUUCUUGUAUAAGAGAAAUAUUGUGCUCCACAUAAUAUAUCGUAUAAUCACUUAUCUAUUGGAAGAAUGGAAUAGUUUUUCAGUCUUUUACAAUGUUUUGUUUUUGACAUGUGAUUCUAAGAGUGACCAUAUCCAAGCUAUGUUUCCUAGUGACAGGGUUAUCUGACCUUUUAAGCUCUUAUAAGUGCAGAUUGCUAGGUUAAUAGUGAUAAAUAGUUCUGGUAAAUCCUUCUGCGGAAAGGAUCUCUUUCUGAUUUUGUACAGUGGACAAGAAAGUAAUGACAAUGACAAAGCGACUCCACUUCGGUUGCAUUUAAUUAUUUAAAUAAACAAACCAAUAAAUUAAUAACGAAAUAAAUAAUUUGUAAAAUGUAACCUCAUAUACCUGGAAUAUAUGUAUUUCCUGAUAUUUUAUUUUAUUGAAAUCUGUGACAUUUUCACUUUUCCAUGACAAAGGUUACCCUUUUACUCAUGGUUAUUCUUUAUGUACUUAUGUAUGCAGCCAAAGGUCUCUGUAUCUGAAAUCGUAUAAAAAGACAUGAGUGUAAAUAUAUAUUCAGAUAUAUAAAUGUAUGCUCAGUAUUUUGCUACUAUUCUGUGAAUUAUUUGUUUACUUUCUCAUUUGUAAAAGUAACACUUUGGAAUAUAAAUAAAACAUUU